UGCACAGCUAAAGUGGGAUUUAUUAUGGCAGGGGGCAAACAGGCCAAGAGUAAAAUGAAGCCGGGAACUACGACUCCUGCCACCUCCAGUGCCACACACUUUAAUCAGAGCUGGCAGAAAUUAAUUCAAGAGGAAUUUUUACAUGGCUCCACUGUUGUUUUCUGCUUUUCUGCUUGACUACAAGAAUCCUAAUGAGACUCUCUUGAUAUCCCAAAACAAGAAUUCCUAAAUCGGCUCUCUCGCUCGAUAUUCUUGUACAAUCAUUCCUUUCUGAGGGAGCAUUUCAAAGGCUACUAUUGAAUGUGGAUUUCAACACAUUUCCUAUCUCCUACAAUACUCAUUUCAAGUGGGCAACUAGACACAGGUAUCACACGAAGGGGAAAAAUACGGAACCUGUAGUCUUGGUCUUCACAGGUAUUCUCGCCCUCCUGAACCAGUCAGCCUUACAAGUUCUGUUCUGCUUACUAAAGACUCUUAGUACACUUU
ensembl:antisense 4930518C09Rik RIKEN cDNA 4930518C09 gene